UUCCUCUUUGUGUUAGCAUGAGCAUAAAUUCACUGCUCUGCUGCUGCCAGAUGUUUUUCUCUCACCGUGCCUCGUCGACAGCUCGCUGUCAUCGCCUCGUCACUUUGGCACAGUUGUCCCUGUCAGUUUGCUGCUGAUAUACAGUAGUGAACGUCGUCCCUGACCGAUGGCUAGCUGUGUUAGCAGAGCAGCGAGCGAUGCAGCAGGCUCUACAACUUUCUGGACUUGGCUACGCUGCUAAUUAGCUCUUUGGAGAGUUCUCCUUGUGGAAACAGUUAGACAGAGAGAGAGCCAGAGAGAGAGAGAGACUCGAGCGAAUGUGCAGGUUCACAGUGUGUGUGCAGGGGACGGCCGGAGGAAACAAACGUACCUAGCAUUAAGUGUAAAUAUUGUGCUAGAGGAAUAUGAAAGUAGCGCAAUGCCGACGUACAAAAAACACAGGGAGAAAAGAUCAAGAGCGGGUCUUACAUCAAGGAAGGACCCCGAGGAUGUCUUUGUUGUCAACUUCAGAAGGGAAGAGAGGAGCAGAGGAGGAAACUGGCAGAAGGGGAGAAGAUGCCAGAGAGAGGCUCAAAGGAGCGGCCCUGGCCGAGGUGAUCGGUAUUCCUCGCCAGUCUGCCUGCUGGCUCUGAAGUGAACGAAAGAAGCUGGCAGCCAAGCCAGAGGGCAUAACAGCACAAAUACACACACAUAUAUAUAUGCACACACAUACACACACAAACACACACACACACUCUAUAUACUACACACACACGAUUGGAGUGGGUACACACUUCACGAGUGCACUGAUACAUUCACACACCUUCCCUUUCUCUCUCUCUCUUACACACUGCAAAUACACUGCUUCUCUCUCUUCUCGCUCUCUCUGUCUCUCCCUCUCUCUCUCUCUCUUACUCUCUCUCUCUCUCUCUCUCUCUCUCACACACACACACACACACUUAACAAAUCAACACACUGCAUUUUUCCUAAUAACUCAUUCAAUCAAAUUUUUCCACCAAAGCAUCAAUUUUCAUCUCUCUUCUGUCCUGUGGUACACAUUAAAAUGCUGGACAUUUUUAAAAGA